AUUGAACGCUGGCGGCAGGCCUAACACAUGCAAGUCGAGCGGAUGAAGGUAGCUUGCUACCUGAUUCAGCGGCGGACGGGUGAGUAAUGCCUAGGAAUCUGCCUGGUAGUGGGGGACAACGUUUCGAAAGGAACGCUAAUACCGCAUACGUCCUACGGGAGAAAGUGGGGGAUCUUCGGACCUCACGCUAUCAGAUGAGCCUAGGUACGAUUAGCUAGUUGGUGAGGUAAAGGCUCACCAAGGCGACGAUCGUUAACUGGUCUGAGAGGAUGAUCAGUCACACUGGAACUGAGACACGGUCCAGACUCCUAUGGGAGGCAGCAGUGGGGAAUAUUGGACAAUGGGCGAAAGCCUGAUCCAGCCAUGCCGCGUGUGUGAAGAAGGUCUUCGGAUUGUAAAGCACUUUAAGUUGGGAGGAAGGGCAGUAAGUUAAUACCUUGCUGUUUUGACGUUACCGACAGAAUAAGCACCGGCUAACUUCGUGCCAGCAGCCGCCGUAA
rnacentral:rRNA from 1 species